AGUUGUCUGAUUUUAAGCCCAAUGCAGCAAAAUUAUUUUUCAAUACGGAUUUCUAAAAACAAAAUAAAUUAACAUUUUAAUGAAGGCAUUAUGGAGAAGUUAACUGUUACCUAAUAUUGAAAAAAAAAUCGAAAUCACUUGUUUCCUUUACUGGCAUACCGUUUCGAAACCAGUUCAAUUUAAUUUAAUUUUAUAAAGUGUACAUUGCUGUAGUGGUGACGAGUCAUGGAUCUUUGAGUAUGAUCUCGAGACAAAGAGGUAUAUUGAGACGACAGAGGGAGUCCAAGCAGCAUGCACCUCGGCUCUCAAGGCUAUUCCGGAGAAUGCCUUCCGUGACGCCUUGAAUGAUUGGAAAUCGUGCUGGCAGCGUUGCAUCAACGCAGAAGGAGGCUAUUUUGAAAGUUUUUAAAGAAUUGUAAUUAUUGGUUCAAUAAAUUUUUUUUAAA